UUGAAACACCGGUUCUCGUACGAUCAUCGAAGUUAAGCAACAUCUAGCCUGGUCAGUACAUAGACGGGUGACCGCUUGGAAAUACCAUGUGCUAU